UCGAGAAUCUUGGGCAAUGCGCGAAAGCGUGACCCAGCAAUGCCGCGUGCGGGAUGAAGGUCUUCGGAUUGUAAACCGCUGUCACUCGGGACGAACAAAAUGACGGUACCGAGGGAGGAAGCCACGGCUAACUACGUGCCAGCAGCCGCGGUAAUACGUAGGUGGCGAGCGUUGUUCGGAUUUAUUGGGCGUAAAGGGUCCGCAGGAGGUUUGUUAAAAUUGGGGUGAAAUCCCGGAGCUCAACUCCGGAACUGCCUUGAUGACUGACGAACUAGAGUGCUGGAGAGGUAAGCGGAAUACCAGGUGUAGCGGUGGAAUGCGUAGAUAUCUGGUAGAACACCGAAAGCGAAGGCAGCUUACUGGACAGCAACUGACUCUCAGGGACGAAAGCGUGGGGAGCAAACA
rnacentral:rRNA from 2 species